rnacentral:pre_miRNA from 1 species
UGUUAAAAAUUUAAUCCAUUUUUACUGUAAAAAACUGGUAGCGUACCAGGACCAUUUUUAACAGUAGAAUUGGAUUAAAUUUUUAACA